GUAGUCUCGCACAGAUGCAUAUCAAUAAGCGGAGGAAAAGAAACUAACAAGGAUUCCCCUAGUAACGGCGAGUGAAGCGGGAAGAGCUCAAAUUUGAAAUCUUAAAGGGUUUCCCUUUACGAAUUGUAGUUUAAAGAAGUGUUUUCUGUUGAGGUUUUGGUAAAAGUUCUUUGGAAUAGGACAUCAUAGAGGGUGAGAAUCCCGUAUUUGACCUUUACUUUCAACUUUGUGAUACACUUUCAAAGAGUCGGAUUGUUUGGGAAUGCAGUCCAAAAUGGGUGGUAAAUUUCAUCUAAAGCUAAAUAUUGGCGAGAGACCGAUAGCGAACAAGUACCGUGAGGGAAAGAUGAAAAGAACUUUGAAAAGAGAGUUAAACAGUACGUGAAAUUGUCAAAAGGGAAGCGUUUGACACCAGUGUUGUUUUUCUGAAAAUCAAUUAAAGAACUGUUUAUGCUAAGUUGUUUAGACUUUAUCAGCUAACUGUUUAGUUUUGAGCUUUUCUUUAAUGCACUUUUCAGUUAACAAGUCAACAUCAAUUUCUUUUGCUGUAAAAAAACUUGAGGAAGGUGGCUUGAGAUUCGUCUUAAGUGUUUAUAGCCUCUUGCCUAUGCAGUCGGAGAGAUUGAGGUCUGCAGCGUAGAUCCUUCGGGGCUAAAUGCAUUUGUGCUAAGUUAUAACAUUUUAUAGACAACUUGUUGACUAUGAUUUGUCUUGUAGCUUACUCGCUUAUGUUAUUUUACCUACGCUUAGGAUGUUGAUCUGUAGUGCGUGCGCC
rnacentral:rRNA from 1 species